AAAUUGAAGAGUUUGAUCAUGGCUCAGAUUGAACGCUGGCGGCAGGCCUAACACAUGCAAGUCGAACGGUAACAGGAAGCAGCUUGCUGCUUCGCUGACGAGUGGCGGACGGGUGAGUAAUGUCUGGGAAACUGCCUGAUGGAGGGGGAUAACUACUGGAAACGGUGGCUAAUACCGCAUAACGUCGCAAGACCAAAGAGGGGGACCUUCGGGCCUCUUGCCAUCAGAUGUGCCCAGAUGGGAUUAGCUUGUUGGUGAGGUAACGGCUCACCAAGGCGACGAUCCCUAGCUGGUCUGAGAGGAUGACCAGCCACACUGGAACUGAGACACGGUCCAGACUCCUACGGGAGGCAGCAGUGGGGAAUAUUGCACAAUGGGCGCAAGCCUGAUGCAGCCAUGCCGCGUGUAUGAAGAAGGCCUUCGGGUUGUAAAGUACUUUCAGCGGGGAGGAAGGUGUUGUGGUUAAUAACCGCAGCAAUUGACGUUACCCGCAGAAGAAGCACCGGCUAACUCCGUGCCAGCAGCCGCGGUAAUACGGAGGGUGCAAGCGUUAAUCGGAAUUACUGGGCGUAAAGCGCACGCAGGCGGUCUGUCAAGUCGGAUGUGAAAUCCCCGGGCUCAACCUGGGAACUGCAUUCGAAACUGGCAGGCUUGAGUCUUGUAGAGGGGGGUAGAAUUCCAGGUGUAGCGGUGAAAUGCGUAGAGAUCUGGAGGAAUACCGGUGGCGAAGGCGGCCCCCUGGACAAAGACUGACGCUCAGGUGCGAAAGCGUGGGGAGCAAACAGGAUUAGAUACCCUGGUAGUCCACGCCGUAAACGAUGUCUACUUGGAGGUUGUGCCCUUGAGGCGUGGCUUCCGGAGCUAACGCGUUAAGUAGACCGCCUGGGGAGUACGGCCGCAAGGUUAAAACUCAAAUGAAUUGACGGGGGCCCGCACAAGCGGUGGAGCAUGUGGUUUAAUUCGAUGCAACGCGAAGAACCUUACCUGGUCUUGACAUCCACAGAAGAAUCCAGAGAUGGAUUUGUGCCUUCGGGAACUGUGAGACAGGUGCUGCAUGGCUGUCGUCAGCUCGUGUUGUGAAAUGUUGGGUUAAGUCCCGCAACGAGCGCAACCCUUAUCCUUUGUUGCC
rnacentral:rRNA from 2 species